GACGGGGGGUCCAAGCGUUGUUCGGAAUCAUUGGGCGUAAAGCGUGCGUAGGUGGUUUGUUAAGUCCGUUGUGAAAGCCCCGAGCUCAACUUGGGAAUUGCAGUGGAUACUGGCAAGCUGGAGUGCGGUAGAGGAAGGUGGAAUUCCCGGUGUAGCGGUGAAAUGCGUAGAGAUCGGGAGGAACACCAGUGGCGAAGGCGGCCUUCUGGACCAGCACUGACACUCAAGCACGAAAGCGUGGGGAGCAAACAGG
rnacentral:rRNA from 1 species